UCUGGCUCAGGAUGAACGCUAGCUACAGGCUUAACACAUGCAAGUCGAGGGGCAGCAUGAGAUUAGCUUGCUAAUCUUGAUGGCGACCGGCGCACGGGUGAGUAACGCGUAUCCAACCUUCCCCCUACUCAGGCAUAGCCCGGUGAAAACCGGAUUAACUCCUGAUAGUUUCACUAGAUGGCAUCUGACGGUGAAUAAAGCUCAGCGGUAAGGGAUGGGGAUGCGUCUGAUUAGCUUGUUGGCGGGGUAACGGCCCACCAAGGCGACGAUCAGUAGGGGUUCUGAGAGGAAGGUCCCCCACAUUGGAACUGAGACACGGUCCAAACUCCUACGGGAGGCAGCAGUGAGGAAUAUUGGUCAAUGGGCGCGAGCCUGAACCAGCCAAGUAGCGUGCCAGGACGACGGCCCUAUGGGUUGUAAACUGCUUUUGUAUGGGAAUAAAGUCAGGGACGUGUCCCUGUUUGCAUGUACCAUAAGAAUAAGGACCGGCUAAUUCCGUGCCAGCAGCGGC
rnacentral:rRNA from 1 species